rnacentral:lncRNA from 1 species
AGAUUCCAGUGUCCGUUGCUGUGACGACGGGAGUCACCUGAUGCCUUGUUAGACAGUUGUAAGGUUCUAUUGCUGGCCCCAGUGGGGUCGUCAGUAAACUGGAGUGAUGUCCAAACAUCAUUACAUGCUGCUCCAAUAUUAAAGCAAAGGGAUUAGCAACUUAUUGCAAGCAACCUGGAUUUGUCAUUGUGCUGUCGUUAUCCAAUUUCCAACUGCUAAUGUGACUGUAGCCUGCAGGCAGAAGGACCUACAGCCAAACUUUAAAAAAUGGGGGAGAAAAGUUCCCUCCAUUCAUCCCAGUUUUUACCAUUAUUUAAUAGCUUCCAAUACCCAGUUAGGUAUGUGAGAGAUUUUUUUUUCUGCAAUGCUUAAAUGCAGGCUAUAGGAGAAAAGUCAAGAAAAUACAGAAAUUUCCCAAUUAAGAGAUCACUCCUAUUCAUGUCAUUAUUCUUGCUUUUCGAUUCCACCAGAUCUGAAAUGUUUACCCUGUAGAAGAUGGAAUUAUUUCUAUUUGCAUGGAAAACUCAGAAAGCAAAGACAAUGAGCUCAUGAGCAACUUGAGUACAGAUAUCAGCCUUAUUCACCUUUGCAUAUGUCCUUCUGCUCCCAUAUACUCAACCAGUGCCCGAUAUACAAACCAAGAGAGAAGAAACAUCAACAUUUCCUGAGUAUGUACCAUGUUCCAGCUAUUCUGAAAGUCUUUCAACCAACAGUUCUUAUUUUAUUUAAUUAUCAUAGCAAACUGAGCGGUGUGUUUUUAUUGCUUCCAUUUUCCAAAUAAGAAAGUUGAACUUGUAGCUGUACUUGAAGGACUGUGAGAUAACAGAACUAAAUGUUAGAAGCAGCCUGGUUCCCUGAGUCACCACCAGGAGGGCAGCUACCAGGAGAGUCACCCAACCUUCUUCAGGCUGAGAUCAUUUGACUCCCUGACCUUCUUCAACAGAAAAGUCUAUGGGCUGAUUAUACGCUAAGAAUAGAA